CCUACGGGUGGCAGCAGUGGGGAAUAUUGCGCAAUGGGCGAAAGCCUGACGCAGCGACGCCGCGUGAGGGAUGAAGGUCUUCGGAUCGUAAACCUCUGUCAGCAGGGAAGAACGGUCACUGUGCUAAUCAGCAGUGAAUUGACGGUACCUGCAAAGGAAGCACCGGCUAACUCCGUGCCAGCAGCCGCGGUAAUACGGAGGGUGCGAGCGUUAAUCGGAAUUACUGGGCGUAAAGCGCUCGUAGGCGGUAUGUCAAGUCAAGGGUGAAAUCCCCGGGCUCAACGUGGGAACUGCCUUUGAAACUGGGAGACUGGAGUGUGUGAGAGGGUAGUGGAAUUCCAGGUGUAGGAGUGAAAUCCGUAGAUAUCUGGAGGAACAUCAGUGGCGAAGGCGACUAUCUGGCACAUAACUGACGCUGAGGCGCGAAAGCGUGGGUAGCGAACAGGAUUAGAUACCCCUGUAGUC
rnacentral:rRNA from 1 species